CACAGCCAGGAUCAAGUUGAUGAGGUAGAAGGAGCCCAGGAAGAUCACCACCACAAAGAAAAUCAUGUGGGGACUGCGAUGGUGGUCCCAUGACGGUGGACCUGAAGACUCUGCAGUAUGACAAAGGAGGACCUGGGCCCAACAGUACAGCAUUUUAAGAUUCUGUUCCUACCUCUGAAAUAUUUCUAUUAAUUUUACUUUCCGAUGAAAGGCUGCAGGUUUUAGGAAGCUUUUCUGAGCGAAGGUAGAGCUGAGAACGAAAGGAGGGGAGGUGAAAAGAAGAGAGAAGAGGAGACAAAGAAGAAAGAAGCUCUAAACUGCAUCUUAAGGUACUACACCUGAAACAAAAGAAUCAAUUACACAAUACUGCAAAUGGAUACAAUUUAUUUUACAAAAUCCUCUUCUUCACCCACAAAGCAGUAUCUAUAGAACUUGGGAAGUUCUAAAUGUUGAGAGUUUAAUAAUUAUAACAACUUCUAUUUUUCACCUUAGCUCUUUCCUGGUGCCCUUUAUCCCCAUUUUUCUUAGUAAAGGAUUUCCUGUU